ACGAAUGCAACAUGGGUCUCACGGUGCUCGUCGUCCGUUUCGCGGAACCCUCACCGCCCAUCCUUCCCAGACCCGAGAGUGUACUACCGCCGCCACCCACCACCCCCAACACUCCCGGCGCGACCGCCCUUGUUUCCACACGCUCGUCCGGAGCACCGCUCGUCGUGGGUCAGUACGGGAGUUCGUUUAGGCAGGGGAGGCUCGACGGCGGGUGCCUCUGGGUCAGAGGAUGGAAGAAGCGAGACUGGAGUUUCUUCUCGAUGCCGUUGACAGAUUCCCCCUGCGUGAGGAGUUUGCCGACAGCCUUGAACACCCAGAUCUAGUUCCUCUGGUUUUGCUGGCCAACAGCGGGGCAACAUCGUCGGCCGCUGCUGAUUCCAGUCCUGGCUCUGGCUGUGGUUAGCAAGUCUGGCGGCGAAGGGAACGGUGAUGCCCGUGCUGGGUUCGACGGCGACCGGAUUCAUCCCCAACUAGGCCAGCACAGUCCACGGACAGAGUAAAUCCCCAAGCGCCAGGGUGGAUGAAAAGGUUAAGGCUGGGAAGUGCACCACCGGACCGUACCCCAUGUCCAUCCAGAAUUAGUGCUAUUAAGCAGUCAAUUCGCAAAUACGCUGAGGAACCAACGGAAGUUGUAAUAAGACCAGAAUUUGGUUUAAGCUUCGCUUCCUUGCGCGAGGCAUACGACUUCUACAACUUGUAUUCGUGGGAAAUUGGAUUUGGUAUAAGGUAUGGCGAGAGUAGAUUGAAUGCAUAGAAGGACAAAAUGCAUGGAGGAGAUCGUCUGCGGGUGCUCGGAUGCAUGAACAGGUUGAGGGAGAGACUCUAAUAUAGGGUUAGGCCUGAAGAUGUAGCCGGUCCAAGCGACGCAGGUGGCAGCAGGCUGCAGCAAGACCAUGUUGCAGCUCAGAGACUGAAAGAGCAGCAGCAGAUAUGGAAACAAAUGUCAGAUGUUGAGCAGCAGAUGAAGUUAGACCUUGAGCAUGCCCGUUCGCAUCGGAUUAUACGGACGAGGGGGGGCACGUCUGGCAAUGGUGAUGUUGGUGAUUCGGAUGAUCCGGCAGGUGAGGAAAGGCAUCAGCGUGUGUGCAGCCUUGCUGCUGCGGCGCUUGAAGUAGUUAACCGGACGAUAGACAAUCUGGAACUCUUUAAAGACAUCUUUGAGCACGCAAGGGGGCUCUUAACUGCACUUGGUGUGGAUGGAGACAUCAGAGGUGACUAGAAGCAUAUCGAACGGCAUUUAAAACGGUGAGACUCUGUUUACGUGGCUUCUAUGCAGAUGUUAAUCGACAUGCUCUUGUUUUGUUGGUGACAGCGCCCUGGUUCUCAAGAUCAAAAUGGAGAAGUGGCUGAGGGUACUGAUAGUGAUGAGGAGGAUGACUUUGAUUGGGCGGCGGGAGAAUCGUCACGGAGCGACUGGGGAGAGAAGUACCCAGCAUCGGUUGGGCUGUAUCAUGUUGAGCCUUCGGAGCAUGACAUUUCAAAAUUCUAUGUAGGCAUGGUAGGCUGUGGCGAGUGGCGACCAUGUUCUAAAGAACUAAGAAUGACAAGAGUAGAACCGUCCCGUGGCAAGUAUUUUCUACUGUUUGGCUGUCCUUGCCAUGUGAUUCUGAAAUCCGUAAAUUUCUACAGGAAGUGGUUCAAGCACUAUCAUCCGAGACUAGCUGUGGCGUCUGGCUAGGACCUGAAGGACGAGCUAACUCCUGGUGGCGAGCUGACACUGAAUCUGUGGACAUGCAUACAAAGGAUGCUAAGCGAGAAGGAUAAGAUCAUGUACAAGGGGUGGCUAGACAGAUUCAGAGGCAUCUUCGAUCCCCGUUUUGUGGUACGAAUGCUUGCUUGGUAGCAACUUGCGAAGGUUAAGUGGCCCGUAGAUUGUAAAACCUGAUGCUUCCAUAUUUAAUCUACAUGAUGAUGGACUGCGAAAAAAUGGGCUAUAGAAUCGACUGGCUUAAAAAGUUCAUGUUCCCGGUGAAUUUCAUGGAUUGCUGGUCGGUGUAUAUCCUGGAAAAGGAUAAGAAGAUUGUGAUGGUGCUUGAUCCAACUGAGACAUAUCCGGAAGAUGAGAUCAAGAUCAAGCACGAGCCGCUGGCAAAGAAGUUUCAGAAAAGGUUCUGCAACCUGUUUAAUGACGUGUAUGGUGCUGGAUUGGUAGAGACGACUGGGUCAUCUUUUGUGUAUCCUUUGGAGGCGCAGCACGAGCCAUGCAGUAGGUCAGUGCACCUUCAUCAUUGCCUUAGCGGCAGCUCGGUCUGAGUGAUCAAAAACUGUGCCAUUUAAACUCAUACGGUGUGCCUCUGUUGUGGUUUGCAUGGAAGACAAGGGUGUCUAUGUUGUGCUCUACGUCCUGAACUUUACUGGUCUAUACCUACGAUAAACUUUGAGCUAGGGCCAGAUUGAGCAGCUGCGGAAGAAGAUUGAAUAUGAGGUGGUGAUCACGAGGGGUAACAAAAGAGAGCUUCUGGAUUUCAUGUGCGAGGAGAUAGCUGACUGAAGAUGGAGUGGUCGUACUUGCAGUCUGCGUACAGCCCGGCAAGAUCUUUUGGCUGUGCGUCAAGUAUGUCGUUAGGCACUGGGGUUUAAGUCUGGAGUCAUUUUGCAAUGCGAGCGAAAGAACUACUGUAGAUUAUUAGUUUGGACACCUACGGUAAUGUGUUGUGUUUCAGGCAAUGGACCUGCGUGAAUGUAGGAUUAAGUAUGGAGAUGUGAUGACUUGUCUGUUUGUUUGCAAAUUGCUAUGUCAGAUGAAAUGAACUAAGUAUGGUCAUGUUGGACAGUAGUAA